rnacentral:rRNA from 1 species
AGCAGCCGCGGUAAUACGUAGGGCGCAAGCGUUGUCCGGAAUUAUUGGGCGUAAAGAGCUCGUAGGCGGUUUGUCGCGUCUGCUGUGAAAGCCCGGGGCUCAACCCCGGGUCUGCAGUGGGUACGGGCAGACUAGAGUGCAGUAGGGGAGACUGGAAUUCCUGGUGUAGCGGUGAAAUGCGCAGAUAUCAGGAGGAACACCGAUGGCGAAGGCAGGUCUCUGGGCUGUUACUGACGCUGAGGAGCGAAAGCAUGGGGAGCGAACAGGAUUAGAUACCCUGGUAGUCCAUGCCGUAAACGUUGGGCACUAGGUGUGGGGGACAUUCCACGUUUUCCGCGCCGUAGCUAACGCAUUAAGUGCCCCGCCUGGGGAGUACGGCCGCAAGGCUAAAACUCAAAGGAAUUGACGGGGGCCCGCACAAGCGGCGGAGCAUGCGGAUUAAUUCGAUGCAACGCGAAGAACCUUACCAAGGCUUGACAUUCACCGGACCGCCCCAGAGAUGGGGUUUCCCUUCGGGGCUGGUGGACAGGUGGUGCAUGGUUGUCGUCAGCUCGUGUCGUGAGAUGUUGGGUUAAGUCCCGCAACGAGCGCAACCCUCGUUCUAUGUUGCCAGCACGUGAUGGUGGGGACUCAUAGGAGACUGCCGGGGUCAACUCGGAGGAAGGUGGGGAUGACGUCAAAUCAUCAUGCCCCUUAUGUCUUGGGCUUCACGCAUGCUACAAUGGCCGGUACAAAGGGUUGCGAUACUGUGAGGUGGAGCUAAUCCCAAAAAGCCGGUCUCAGUUCGGAUUGAGGUCUGCAACUCGACCUCAUGAAGUCGGAGUCGCUAGUAAUCGCAGAUCAGCAACGCUGCGGUGAAUACGUUCCCGGGCCUUGUACACACCGCCCGUCAAGUCACGAAAGUUGGUAACACCCGAAGCCGGUGGCCUAACCCCUUGUGGGAGGGAGCCGUCGAAGGUGGGACUGGCGAU